ensembl:lncRNA LINC01258 long intergenic non-protein coding RNA 1258
AGUGAUGACCUAGUUGUCUUGAGGGCCAGGCUGAGGAGAAGCCUGAUGGGUUACGCUUCAGAAUUUCAUGUGCUCAUGGGAGAAGAGUCCCUGACUGCAGAACCCCUGAGGUCCUGAAAGUGAUUUGUAUUAGAACAUCCAUGCAGUUGACUUUCUGUCAGUCAACCGGAUGCUGGAUUGAUCUGGUAGGCUGGAACUUGGAUGUGCAUUGGCAGGUCUGCAUUGGCAGACCAGAUGUCACCAUACAGACAACAAUAUCCUACAGGACAGAAAAGCUUGAAAGUAAAAGAAACUUUGGUGUUUGAAUAAACCACACAUUUGUCCUGGACAACCUGCCUAUCGUUGAACUGUUACAUGAGAGAAAAAGAGAUUUCUCUCUUAUUUGAACAAUUGCAUUUUCAAGUCUUUUUGUUACAGCAGCAUAACUGAUACCCUAACCCUGACAAAUACAUUUUUAAACAAAAGGAGGAAUGCUACUAUCGUACUCUAUGCUGGUCCAGUCUUACUUGGGGUGCAGUAUUCUCAUCUGUGAAUCACAUUUCAAGGGGCCUAAAGACAAAGUAGAAGUGUUCAGAUAACAGCAACAUGAUUGGUGAGAAAUUCAAAGUUGAAGAAACUGGAAGAGCAGAUUUAGAGUAAGUAGGAGUGCCACUUUCAAAUGUCUGAGGAACUGGCCUGUGAAAGAAUGAUUCACUUUGUUCUGUGUAGUUUCAGUAGAUAGAAGUAUGGUUCAACGGGAAAACUGAUUUUGCUGAAGAGAAAGAUUUCUGGCUGUCAGGUCUGCAUAGACAUUGGAGGCACUGAGUUCCCUGCUCAUGGAGAUAUUUUUCACAGAGCCUGGAUAAUCAUUUGGCUGGAUUUGUAACAACUGUGUAUCAUACAGCAUGAAAAUGCAUUUUCUAGCUUCCCUUGAAGUGAAAUGUGAGCAAAAAUGAUGCCAGCCACUCCCAGACCGGCCCAUAGAAACCUCCCAUAUUCUUUCUUCUUCUGCUGCUGGAUAUUGACACAGGGGAUGACUUUGAAAGCUGAGUAUUGAAGAUGGCAGAAGCUGUCUUUCAGCCUUGGUCCCUGAACAACAUGUUGAGCAGAUCCCGUGGUAAUCUGGAACUGCCCUGGACUGUGUAAAGGAAUCAACUUCUUUAUACAACAAUGGCAGAGAAGUUCUACAAUAUGGAGUCCUGUGAUAAAAGGUCCAGCUGACUGACCCACCAGCUGGUGACCAGCAGAGCAGAGGAGGAGCAAGCACAGGACCUUCACCUUUCCUGCCAGGUGUGGGCGCCAGUCAAGGGGACUCCUGAGAGACUACUUGGUGUCUGCCUUGGAGCCAGAAACUCCUGACCACUCUCUGGCAAACUCAGGCGUGAUUCUUUCCUUGCUAAGCCUCAGUUUCUUCAUCUACAAAGGGAGGGCAAGGAUAAGCUGGGGACUAUGUGCUGAUGGAAUGACUGAUUCCUUCUGUUCUUGGGCAUCAGUGGACACCCAACACAGCCUCAUUCAAGGAGAACUGGUCACUUUCAACUCCUUUCUUCAGCAGAGGAUCCUUCCUUCCUUCCCUCCCCACUGGGUCAUGUGAGGACAGAAGGAUUGUGCUAUAUCAGUUUUGGGGGAUUCCACAUUCUCAUUUAGAGGAAAAAGAACCUGCUUCCAGUUUUACCCCUGGAACUAGAAAAUUAAUCUUUGAUCAGACCAAUCCCAUUUAAGAAAUUUGUUUUGUUUGGCUGGCAAGUAUUUGAAAUUUUAAAUAAUUAUUUGCCACACUUCUAAAUUGGGAAGUUUUACAAAAAUAUCUGGAUAUAUGACUUCUCUUAAACCAUCAGAAGUUCCAGCAACAGUUCUAAGUAUAUUCCACAUAGAAAAGACUGAUUGGAGCUGAACAGUUGUUGUGCCCUUUCAAAGGGUCAUAUGCUCUGUGUUUACUCAUAGUCUCCACACAGCCCUCUCCGCUCACUCAUCCAGCCACUUUCAGCAUUUGAGUUUACAACCCCCAGUCUAGAUCAGUGUUUUUCAAACUAUAGGUCAUCCCAUUGUGGGAGUCAUUAAAUCAGUGUCUUGGAUAACC